AUUGAACGCUGGCGGCAUGCUUUACACAUGCAAGUCGAACGGUAACAGCACUUCGGUGGCUGACGAGUGGCGCACGGGUGAGUAAUACAUCGGAACGUGCCUAGUAGUGGGGGAUAACUACUCGAAAGAGUAGCUAAUACCGCAUGAGAUCUAAGGAUGAAAGCAGGGGACCUUCGGGCCUUGCGCUACUAGAGCGGCUGAUGGCAGAUUAGGUAGUUGGUGGGAUAAAAGCUUACCAAGCCGACGAUCUGUAGCUGGUCUGAGAGGACGACCAGCCACACUGGGACUGAGACACGGUCCAGACUCCUACGGGAGGCAGCAGUGGGGAAUAUUGGACAAUGGGCGAAAGCCUGAUCCAGCAAUGCCGCGUGCAGGAUGAAGGCCUUCGGGUUGUAAACUGCUUUUGUACGGAAGGAAAAGCAGUCUUCUAAUACAGGAGGGUCAUGACGGUACCGUAAGAAUAAGCACCGGCUAACUACGUG
rnacentral:rRNA from 1 species